AAGGAACGCUGGCAGCGUGCAUAACACAUGCAAGUCGAACGAUGACAAAUUCUUAGGGAUUUUGAAGAGUGGCGAACGGGUGAGGAACACGUAAGAAUCUGCCCCUCGGUCGGGGACAACUUUUGGAAACGAAAGCUAAUACCCGAUAUGCUGUGGAGUGAAAGAAUUUCGCCGAGGGAUGAUCUUGCGUCUGAUUAGCUAGUUGGUAUGGUAAUGGCAUACCAAGGCGACGAUCAGUAGCUGGUCUGAGAGGAUGAACAGCCACAUUGGAACUGAGACACGGUCCAAACUCCUACGGGAGGCAGCAGUGGGGAAUUUUCCGCAAUGGACGAAAGUCUGACGGAGCGACGCUGCGUGAAGGAUGAAGGCCCGCGGGUUGUAAACUUCUUUUCUCGAAGAAGAAGCUCUGACGGUAUUCGAGGAACAAGCAUCGGCUAACUCCGUGCCAGCAGCCGCGGUAAGACGGAGGAUGCAAGUGUUAUUCGGAAUGAUUGGGCGUAAAGAGUCUGUAGGCGGUAUGGAAAGUCUUUUGUUAAAUUCCUCGGCUCAA
rnacentral:rRNA from 1 species